UACGUAGGGGGCAAGCGUUGUCCGGAAUCAUUGGGCGUAAAGAGCGUGUAGGCGGCCCGGAAAGUCUGGUGUGAAAUCUUGAGGCUCAACCUCAAGCUGUCACUGGAUACUCCCGGGCUUGAGUCUGGAAGAGGAGAGUGGAAUUCCUGGUGUAGCGGUGGAAUGCGCAGAUAUCAGGAAGAACACCAAUGGCGAAGGCAGCUCUCUGGGACGGUACUGACGCUGAGACGCGAAAGCGUGGGGAGCGAACAGG
rnacentral:rRNA from 1 species